rnacentral:rRNA from 1 species
CCUACGGGAGGCAGCAGUGAGGAAUAUUGGUCAAUGGACGAGAGUCUGAACCAGCCAAGUAGCGUGAAGGAUGACUGCCCUAUGGGUUGUAAACUUCUUUUAUAAAGGAAUAAAACGAGGCACGUGUGCCUUUUUGCAUGUACUUUAUGAAUAAGGAUCGGCUAACUCCGGUCCAGCAGCCGCGGUAAUACGGAGGAUCCGAGCGUUAUCCGGAUUUAUUGGGUUUAAAGGGAGCGUAGAUGGGUUGUUAAGUCAGUUGUGAAAGUUUGCGGCUCAACCGUAAAAUUGCAAUUGAUACUGGCAGUCUUGAGUACAGUUGAGGUAGGCGGAAUUCGUGAUGUAGCAGUGAAAUGCUUAGAUAUCACGAAGAACCCCGAUUGCGAAGGCAGCUUACUAAACUGUGACUGACAUUGAUGCUCGAAAGUGUGGGUAUCAAACAGGAUUAGAUACCCUUGUAGUC